rnacentral:tRNA from 1 species
GCUCACUUGGUGAAAUUGGUAGACACGCGAGACUUAAAAUCUCGUCCUUAAGGGUAUCGGUUCGAUUCCGAUAGUGAGCA